rnacentral:rRNA from 1 species
AGAGUAUGAUCCUGGCUCAGAACGAACGCUGGCGGCAGGCCUAACACAUGCAAGUCGAGCGCACCUUCGGGUGAGCGGCGGACGGGUUAGUAACGCGUGGGAACGUGCCCUUUUCUGCGGAAUAGCCACUGGAAACGGUGAGUAAUACCGCAUACGCCCUUCGGGGGAAAGAUUUAUCGGAGAAGGAUCGGCCCGCGUUAGAUUAGGUAGUUGGUGGGGUAAUGGCCUACCAAGCCUACGAUCUAUAGCUGGUUUAAGAGGAUGAUCAGCAACACUGGGACUGAGACACGGCCCAGACUCCUACGGGAGGCAGCAGUGGGGAAUCUUAGACAAUGGGGGCAACCCUGAUCUAGCCAUGCCGCGUGAGUGAUGAAGGCCUUAGGGUCGUAAAGCUCUUUCGCCAGGGAUGAUAAUGACAGUACCUGGUAAAGAAACCCCGGCUAACUCCGUGCCAGCAGCCGCGGUAAUACGGAGGGGGUUAGCGUUGCUCGGAAUUACUGGGCGUAAAACGCGCGUAGGCGGACUAUUAAGUCAGGGGUGAAAUCCCGGGGCUCAACCCCGGAACUGCCUUUGAUACUGGUAGUCUUGAGUUCGAGAGAG